rnacentral:rRNA from 1 species
AGUGGAUGGGGAGCAACCUAGUUGCGAGUGCGGAAAGGUAGUGCCAAGAAAAGCUGUCAGAAUGAUGAGAAUUGAGUCCCGGUACCCGAAACCGACACUGGUAGGCAAGUAGAGAAUACUAAGGGGCGCGAGGUAACUCUCUCCAAGGAACUCGGCAAAAUGACCCCGUAACUUAGGGAGAAGGGGUGCCACCGAGAGGUGGUCGCAGUGAAGAGGCCCAGGCGACUGUUUAGCAAAAACAUAGGUCUCUGCAAACUCGAAAGAGGAAGUAUAGGGGCUGACGCCUGCCCAGUGCCGGAAGGUUAAAGAAGUUGGUCAGGAGAAAUCUGAAGCUGGCGACUGAAGCCCCGGUGAACGGCGGCCGUAACUAUAACGGUCCUAAGGUAGCGAAAUUCCUUGUCGGGUAAGUUCCGACCCGCACGAAAGGCGUAACGAUCUGAGCGCUGUCUCGGAGAGAGGCUCGGCGAAAUAGGAUUGUCUGUGAAGAUACGGACUACCUGCAUUUGGACAGAAAGACCCUAUGAAGCUUUACUGUAGCUUGAAAUUGUGUUCGGGCUUCCUGUGCGCAGGAUAGGUGGGAGGCUAGGAAGGUCUGCUUGUGGGCAGAUUGGAGCCAACCGUGAGAUACCACUCUCAGGAGGCUAGAAUUCUAACUUAAUUAAGGACAGUUUCAGGUGGGCAGUUUGACUGGGGCGGUCGCCUCCAAAAAGGUAACGGAGGCGUACAAAGGUUCCCUCACACUGGUUGGAAAUCAGUGGCAGAGUGCAAAGGCAGAAGGGAGCUUGACUGCGAGACGGACAAGUCGAGCAGGGUGGAAACACGGUCUUAGUGAUCCGACGGUGCUGUGUGGAAGGGCCGUCGCUCAACGGAUAAAAGUUACUCUAGGAUAACAGGCUGAUCUCCCCCAAGAGUUCACAUCGACGGGGAGGUUUGGCACCUCGAUGUCGGCUCAUCGCAACCUGGGGCGGAAGUACGUCCCAAGGGUUGGGCUGUUCGCCCAUUAAAGCGGUACGUGAGCUGGGCUCAGAACGUCGUGAGACAGUUCGGUCCAUAUCCGAUGUAGGCGUGAGAAUAUUGAGAGGAGCCUUCCUUAGUACGAGAGGACCGGGAAGGACGCACCGCUGGUGUACCUGUUAUGAUGCCAAUCGUAAACGCAGGGUAGCCAAGUGCGGAGAGGAUAACCGCUGAAAGCAUCUAAGUGGGAAGCCCACCUCAAGAUGAGUAUUCUGGUGUAAGGUCACGGGGAGACGACCCGUAGAUAGGCACGAGGUGGAAGUGCAGAGAUGUAUGAAGCCGAAGUGUACUAAUAGACCGUCGGCUUGACC